rnacentral:rRNA from 1 species
AGUGAACGCUGGCGGCAGGCCUAACACAUGCAAGUCGAACGGCAGCACAGAGGAGCUUGCUCCCUGGGUGGCGAGUGGCGGACGGGUGAGGAAUACAUCGGAAUCUGCCUAUUUGUGGGGGAUAACGUAGGGAAACUUACGCUAAUACCGCAUACGACCUACGGGUGAAAGCGGAGGACCUUCGGGCUUCGCGCAGAUAGAUGAGCCGAUGUCGGAUUAGCUGGUUGGCGGGGUCAAGGCCCACCAAGGCGACGAUCCGUAGCUGGUCUGAGAGGAUGAUCAGCAACACUGGAACUUAGACACGGUCCAGACUCCAACGUGAGGCAGCAGUGGGGAAUAUUGGGCAAUGGGCGCAAGCCUGAUCCAGCCAUGCCGCGUGGGUGAAGAAGGCCUUCGGGUUGUAAAGCCCUUUUGUUGGGAAAGAAAAGCAGCCGGUUAAUACCCGGUUGUUCUGACGGUACCCAAAGAAUAAGCACCGGCUAACUUCGUGCCAGCCGCCGCCGUAAAAC